UGAAUACGAGACGCUAAGGCGUCGAAGUAGUGUAUGUCAUACUUCCAAGAAAAGCUUGCACUGUCAUAGAUAAAAAACGCCUGUACCAUAACCGACACAGGUGGGUAGGUAGAGUAUACUAAGGGGCGCGAGAUAACUCUCUCUAAGGAACUCGGCAAAAUAACUCCGUAACUUCGGGAGAAGGAGUGCCUUAUUCGUAAGGUUGCAAUAACAAGAUCCAAGCAACUGUUUAUCAAAAACACAGGUCUCCGCUAAGUCGUAAGACGAUGCAUGGGGGCUGACGCCUGCCCAGUGCCAGAAGGUUAAAGAAGUUGGUUAGCAAUUGCGAAGCUGAUAACUGAAGCCCUGGUGAACGGCGGCCGUAACUAUAACGGUCCUAAGGUAGCGAAAUUCCUUGUCGGGUAAGUUCCGACCCGCACGAAAGGCGUAAUGAUUUGGAUACUGUCUCGGAGAGGGGCUCGGUGAAAUAGACUUGUCUGUGAAGAUGCGGACUACCUGCACCAGGACAGAAAGACCCUAUGAAGCUUUACUGUAACUUGAAAUUGAAAUUGGACUUUAUUCGCGCAGUAUAGGUGGGAGGCGUUGAUUAUAAUCUUGUGGGAUUAUUGGAGCCAUCAGUGAGAUACCACUCUUGUAAUGUUAGAUUUCUAACUUUGAAUCAUUAUCUGGUCAAAGAACAGUUUCAGGCGGGCAGUUUGACUGGGGCGGUCGCCUCCUAAACGGUAACGGAGGCGUACAAAGGUUUCCUCUGAACGGUUAGAAAUCGUAUCUAGAGUGUAAAGGCAUAAGGAAGCUUGACUGUGAGACCUACAAGUCGAGCAGGGACGAAAGUCGGUCUUAGUGAUCUGACGGUACUGAGUGGAAAGGCCGUCACUCAACGGAUAAAAGUUACUCUAGGAUAACAGGCUGAUCUCCCCCAAGAGUUCACAUCGACGGGGAGGUUUGGCACCUCGAUGUCGGCUCAUCGCAUCCUGGGGCGGUAGUACGUCCCAAGGGUUGGGCUGUUCGCCCAUGAAAGCGGUACGCGAGCUGGGUUCAGAACGUCGUGAGACAGUUCGGUCCAUAUCCGGUGUAGGCGUUAGAAUAUUGAGAGGAGCCUUCUUUAGUACGAGAGGACCGAGAAGGACAUACCUCUGGUGUACCAGUUAUCGUGCCAACGGUAAACGCUGGGUAGCUAUGUAUGGAGUGGAUAACCGCUGAAAGCAUCUAAGUGGGAAGCCCACCUCAAGAUAAGUAUUCUCA
rnacentral:rRNA from 1 species